UUUGGAGUGCUUUGAUGCCUAUGGUGGAA
rnacentral:piRNA from 1 species